GAGUCCCCCGUGUACAGAGGACAUCAAGCGUCUGUGGCAAAACCACAGCAGUCACCAGCUCCAGUCACCCCCAAGAGCGUCCGGUGCACACAGCGAGAUACAUUUUUCAAGACACCCGGCAGCCUCGGAGACCCUGUCCUGAGGAAAAGAGAGAGGAAUCCGUCGCGUAACACCACUUCAGCACAGCGGAGACUCGAGAUACCCAGUGGCGGGUCCGACUAAGCCGCUGCUCUGCCCGGCAGGCGGGGACGGAGCUGCCCGAGCUUCCCUGUGAUAAGGUCUCGUCCUAACUCUGCCGAACAGAAACCGGAAUGCAAACCAUCUCGUCUUCAGCAUGCCUCCUUCCUCUCUGCAGCAUCCGCUGAUCCAGACACUCACUCCCCAUCGUCAUGAAGCACCUAUUUUCCUAAAAGUGGUUGUCAUUCAUUGUGCAUUGAAAACCAGUUAGAGUCGGGACCCUGCGUGGUGUCACAGGGAAAGCACCAGCUGACUUUUGUGGUUUUGAUUCAAGAAUCAUCUUAAUGCCGGAAAUAGAUCCGAGCAGCCUCCUGGAGCCUUAGGGUUUUCUGAAGUGGGGGGUUGCAUCUAGCACUUAACUAAGGUGAACGUUCUUGACACGUAUUUCCACUUGCCCUGAGCUGAUCUGUGGUGAGAAACCUCCUUUCUGCAGUUUAGAAAAGCUACUGCUCCCUUUGGCUUCAUCAGGAAGCCAGCUUCACUUGUGACUCCUAUGGUAUUAUUUAUUUUUUCCUGAAAUGGGAUUUAGUGCAAACAAGUUUACAUCUACAGCAAAAUACAUGUUUUUCAGGGUAUGACGACUUGAAUGUUUAUGCUUUUUUCCCUAUGAUUUGCCCUGCACUUACUUUACAACCUAGCAAUAAUGUGGACAAAUGUAUGUGCGUGACGGAAGGCCAAGGCCACGCUAACUGUGAAUGACACACCUUGCUGUCAGGAGCUGUGCGCACCCCACCUGGGCAUGAGUAUUAAGAUGAGCCCCAGCAGCCCGAUAGCUGCUUCUCGGUAACUGAGUGAUUUGUCAGAAUCCUGCCGUGUCCGUUUCCUUCACUACAUGCAUGCCCUUGUGGUUUUUAAUUUAAAUGUUAACUACAGAGGAUCAGGUACGGGAUAUGCCUCCUAACAACUGCUGUUUAUCAAAUGAAUCAGGAUGGUGGAAAGUAAUUCUACAAAAAAUGGGAACCUGGUUGGGAGCUUUUGGUAGGAUUCUGCUGACGUGAUGAUGUAGAAAUUGACAUAGGACAAUAAGGGAGACCUAGCUUUUUUCGCUUCCUUUUUUUCUUUGUUGUUGGAAGAGGAAGAGGGAAAAUGAACACUUUAUGUUCAGGAUCCAAGAGUACUCAUUCACACCCGUUGUUUUUCAAAGUCCUUCUGCAAAAUAAGAACAGGGAGUGCAGGGCUUCAUUGUUCUCGCAUAAAUUUAAUUCUGGAAACUGUUAUGCAAUAUCCCUUUGUUAAACCAUAUUCCUUUAGGGUUUCAUGAAGCGGCCAAACUAGACUUUGUAUUCUUUGAUUUACUGCUGUUUAACUCACCGUCUCUCCCGAGUAAAUGGCUUCCUUCCUGCCUCCCUUCUCUUCUCCCUUCCAUUUUUCCUCCUUUCCUUCAUUCCUCACUCUUUCUCUUCCUGUCUCCUUAGAUUUCUUUUUCAGAUCCUUAGAUGUGGGAUCUUGGUGUAGGACUUUAUUUUUAUUUUUGGACCCAACAAAAUGUUAUAUGAAAGAAUAAAGCAUAUUAAUUGAAGAGACUCUGGGAGUCUGAGUGAAAUAGCUUUACAUUAACUGCAGGAUAAUAUUAGCCUGAUCACCCCCACAAGAUUUUUGAAAAUGUGAGAUAGGUAGCCAGGUUAAAUAAAUUUGCCAUGAUAUAGAAUUUUUAUAAACACUAAACUUCUAAAGUUUACCAGAUGGAUGCCCCCCCCCCCCAGUCUUCUCUAGAGUUAAACAUGAAAAAUGUGAUUCUCGUCAUGAGCUGAUCUAAUCGCAUGGUAAUGGUUACCCUCAACUAAUAUGACGGAUUCCCGAUCAGAACAAAAAUACGUCUUUUUCAGGAGAGUAUGGGACACACGGAACGGAGGUGUGCUUCGGACUCUCCUUGAAACAUUUCCUCUUGCGAGAUGUGCAUGUAGAUGAAGACAGGCACUGAUGCCCCUCCCUGUCUUUGGCUGCCUGCCAUUUAACUUCUCUGAUACCCUUUUUUAAAAAUUCUGUCCAUGACAUGACCACAUAAACCUCAGAGGAUUCACAGCUCUUGAGGGGUAUUCCGCAAGCUGAUAAAUGAGAGUAUGAUUCUGUGACCAUAGGCUUCGAGAGAGAAGACCAACAAGAGAGUCCUUUUGUACCCAGGAGUCAUUUCUUCGUGUGGCUUGGGGAUGUGUAGAAAAUAGUUAGGCAGUGGUUCUUUCUGGCAGGAAUGGGAAUCUGCGACAGAGCCAACGGAUGGUACUGGGGCAGCUGGCAUCUCCCCACACUCGCAUGUUGGGAGUAGUGAGAAAGCCAUGGCACGCUCGAGUCUAUCCUGAUAAUGUGGCAAAAUGUUAAUAAAUGACUGUCAGUGAUCCUGCGAAGGAAAUGCAGCUUUGAGUCCACACUGAGGGAGGUGUGUGUCCCCUACACUGUCCAGGGUUUGAGAAACCCUUUCAUUCUGGUCCAAGCGUUGGGGGUAUAACGUUUAUACUUGAAUCUACCUACCAAGUUUACAUUUCUCGAUUCCUUUUUGCGAGGUGCUAUUUCUGUAUUUAAAUGACUUUUUUCCCCAAUGUAAAGCUGCUUUCUGCUUUAUCUUAUUGCACUGCUAGUUUUAUGUAGGUCUUAAUUUUAUUGCUGCUUACAGCUUUUUUCAUAUUACUUAGCUCUGCUCUUCUAAUGACUAUAUUAUCUAUAUAAAUUUUUCUUUUAGAAAUUUUUUUGCUUUUAGGAAAGUAUGAAGCUUUAUAAAACAGCAAUAAAAAUCAAUUCAUGU
rnacentral:lncRNA from 1 species